AGAGUUUGAUCCUGGCUCAGGAUGAACGCUAGCGACAGGCCUAACACAUGCAAGUCGAGGGGCAACAUGGUAUCAGCUUGCUGAUACUGAUGGCGACCGGCGCACGGGUGAGUAACGCGUAUGUAAUCUACCUGUAACAGAGGGAUAACCCGGAGAAAUCCGGACUAAUACCUCAUAGCACAUAUUAUUCGCAUGAAUUUUAUGUUAAAGAGACUCGGUUACAGAUGAACAUGCGUUCCAUUAGCUAGUUGGCGGGGUUACGGCCCACCAAGGCAACGAUGGAUAGGGGUUCUGAGAGGAAGGUCCCCCACACUGGUACUGAGACACGGACCAGACUCCUACGGGAGGCAGCAGUGAGGAAUAUUGGUCAAUGGACGCAAGUCUGAACCAGCCAUGCCGCGUGCAGGAAGACGGCUCUAUGAGUUGUAAACUGCUUUUGUACGAGGGUAAACUCACCUACGUGUAGGUGACUGAAAGUAUCGUACGAAUAAGGAUCGGCUAACUCCGUGCCAGCAGCCGCGGUAAUACGGAGGAUUCAAGCGUUAUCCGGAUUUAUUGGGUUUAAAGGGUGCGUAGGCGGUUUGAUAAGUUAGAGGUGAAAUCCCGGGGCUUAACUCCGGAACUGCCUCUAAUACUGUUAGACUAGAGAGUAGUUGCGGUAGGCGGAAUGUAUGGUGUAGCGGUGAAAUGCUUAGAGAUCAUACAGAACACCGAUUGCGAAGGCAGCUUACCAAACUAUAUCUGACGUUGAGGCACGAAAGCGUGGGGAGCAAACAGGAUUAGAUACCCUGGUAGUCCACGCAGUAAACGAUGAUAACUCGUUGUCGGCGAUACACAGUCGGUGACUAAGCGAAAGCGAUAAGUUAUCCACCUGGGGAGUACGUUCGCAAGAAUGAAACUCAAAGGAAUUGACGGGGGCCCGCACAAGCGGAGGAACAUGUG
rnacentral:rRNA from 1 species